UACGGGGGGGGCAAGCGUUGUUCGGAAUUACUGGGCGUAAAGGGCGCGUAGGCGGUUCGCUAAGUUGGAUGUGAAAACUCUGGGCUCAACCCAGAGCCUGCAUCCAAAACUGGCGGGCUAGAGUUCUGGAGGGGGUAGCGGAAUUCCUGGUGUAGCGGUGAAAUGCGUAGAUAUCUGGAGGAACACCGGUGGCGAAGGCGGCAUCCUGGACCGGCAUUGACGCUAAAGCGCGAAAGCCAGGGGAGCAAACGGG
rnacentral:rRNA from 1 species